rnacentral:lncRNA from 1 species
UUUCCUGGAUAGAAAUUUUAUUAUCUGCAAAGAAUGAUAUCACAUCACAAGAGGUGUAGCACUAGGAGCCUGGUGAAGCCAAACAAGGGUGAAGGCCUGGCCAGAAUGUGACCAAAGGCUCUAUUCCUGGCUUCGGUAACACAUGAAAAAGGACAUUGAGUUCUUCCUUCACUGCAGUCCUGCCUCAAGUGAGCUGUGCCUGUACCCUGGAACUGGGAACAUUAGCUCUUCCUUUCCUCAACACCUACUUCCUCAGCAUUCUGCAAAGCCUUCAGCUGGAGUGAAGUGUUCCAUGACACAAGAUUUUUCUAAGUCACUUCCUGAUUGAAAACAUU